rnacentral:tRNA from 1 species
GGCAACAUGCCCGAGUGGUUAAGGGGACAGACUUGAACUAACCUGAUCAUUGAUCAGCUUACUCUGAGGUAUCUGUUGGCUUCGGCCGCGUAGGUUCGAACCCUGCUGUUGUCG